rnacentral:rRNA from 1 species
UACGUAGGGGGCCAGCGUUGUCCGGAUUUAUUGGGCGUAAAGAGCGUGUAGGCGGCCAGGUAGGUCUGGUGUGAAAACUCGAGGCUCAACCUCGAGAUGUCAUCGGAAACCAUCUGGCUAGAGUCCGGAAGAGGAGAGUGGAAUUCCUGGUGUAGCGGUGAAAUGCGUAGAUAUCAGGAGGAACACCUGUGGUGUAGACGGCUCUCUGGACCGCAACUGACGCUGAGACACGAAAGCGUGGGUAGCAAACAGG